AUGGUGAGCAAGACCGCCAUUAAGAAGAAGAUUAGGAAGGAGAGGAGAUCAGUUCGCGUGGAAAUCAGCGGGAGCGGAUGGAAAUGGAUGGAAAAUGGGCCAGUGAACUCGUCUCCGGCGGUGUACAACGAUCGCAACGGGAUGUGCUUGUGCUGCGGAGGCUGCGUUCCUGGGAUUGCCUUUGUCGAUUUCGAGUGGAGUCGUUGAGCCGAUGUUGUGCAUCGUUUGGUUCGAUCGGCUGGUUUCACCGGGAAUCGAAUCCAAAGCGACACGGCAUGGCCGAGAGGGUUCAAGGUGCUCGGUGCACAGGUGUCCCGGCACGCGGGCCGCAUAAUUCGUGAAGGGGGCGUUCGCGGGGGCGGAGACGGAGGAAAGGAAGAGCUGGCACGCACACACGCGCCCCACGGAACAAGGGUGAGAUACGGAGCCGCCAUCGAGGCCGCGAUAUUUCGAGCAGACCGCGCCGUUUCGCUCGGUGCUCCUCCACGGCAGGAAGUCUGGCUGAUACCUACCCGUCGAACGAUACCAUCGACAGCUCGGUACGUGCGUCGAGCUGUCCGACAUGUCGGUCACGCUGUCGACCGAUAACGAAUGCCUGUUGGUCGCAUAAACAAAGCUGCCCGUAGAAAUUUCUAAUAAGCGAGGAGGGUGAAGGAACACGGGGAGGGGAACGCGUAGCUCAACGUAUUUUCUGCAUUAAUGCCAGCUAGUUCCCGAAGCGAGUGAAUCCUAAUUUUUCGUUGUAGCUUGCAACUGUAGUUUCCACGGUAAUACCGUAGUUGCCGAAGCAAUACCGUAGUUCUCGAGGCGAUAGUUAUCACAGCAAUGCUCUAGUUUCUGUAGCAAGAAAAUUCAUCGAAACUACAGUGUCUAGGAUGGAGCUCGAUGAAGGUUGAGCGUGCUGGUAGAAGUUACUAAAACGUUAUCUAUUCAAUUUAUUGAGACUCGCAGCGCUGUUUGAACGUUUCACAGCAAUUCGGCGUAUCCCCCAGAGGGAAACCGUCCUGCACUAAAACAGCAGACUUGCUCUACAUUUCGAAUGUCCGCGACACUGUAGUUUCUAACAAUCUCCUCUAUUUUUCCCGAUAUGCCUAUCGAUCCCUAACCAGUCUCAACAUUCAAACUAUUUUUGCCCAAACGAACCGAACGUCGCAAUCUCUUCUCGACGCGUUAUUCCGUUUUUCGCUGGUCAACUAACUGACUCUCCUCCUCUCCUCGUAUUUAGCAACACACAUUCUUUCAUUCUCCAUACACCAAUCCUUCGCAUCGCCUGUCGCUCUAUCCCAUUCGUUCUCACUCAUUCGGCGCGCGUCUCGUACUCAUUCAAACAUUCGCUCGCUACACGAGGAAUUCCAGGGAGGCCAGACGCCAAGAAAAUCGCAAGACAAGGGACGAGCGGUUCCAGGGGACUGGGAAAGCAAGGAAAGAAGGAGAGAGAGAGAGAGCUCGCCGUAAGAAGCGAUUUCAGGAAUUGGAACCGCGCCCCGGCAAUUUCUCGUCGACUAUUAAGUCAGCCCCGUGGCCCGGGCCCGAAACACGAGCAACAAGAUGUAGCAAGUUCGGGAACGACGCGGUUCCAUUAUAAACUCCGGGGAGGAGGUUGGAACCGCUCCGGAGAGGUGAUUCCGCGCCCCGCUGU